CUCCCUUUCCAUACGCCAUUUUAUGGCAUUCAGAUUUUUUUGGUAGAGGGGGGAGUCCUUCUGUAGAUGAAACACUUCCUAUUCCAUACCAUAUUCAUUGGGUUUACACAUUAAAAAUUUAUAUUUGCUUGUAAGAGAGAUGGGACACCAAGAGUUGGCAUCCAAUGGUGUCUUGUGUGGUGCCUCUUCAUCCCUUAUUUAAGGGGUGCCCCAUAUGACAUUAAAUUCAUCCAAAAUCUAUUUUGGAUG
rnacentral:lncRNA from 1 species